rnacentral:rRNA from 1 species
UACAGAGGUCUCAAGCGUUGUUCGGAUUCAUUGGGCGUAAAGGGUGCGCAGGUGGCGCGGCAAGUCGGAUGUGAAAUCCCGCGGCCCAACCGUGGAACUGCCUUUGAUACUGAUGGACUUGAGUGCGUGAGGGGUAGGGGGAACGAGCAGUGUAGCGGUGAAAUGCGUAGAUAUUGCUCGGAAGGCCAGAGCCGAAGGGGCCCUACUGGUGCGCAACUGACACUGAGGCACGAAAGCGUGGGGAGCAAACAGG